rnacentral:rRNA from 1 species
AGCGAACGCUGGCGGCAGGCUUAACACAUGCAAGUCGAACGGGCAUAGCAAUAUGUCAGUGGCAGACGGGUGAGUAACGCGUGGGAACAUACCUCUUGGUUCGGAACAACACAGGGAAACUUGUGCUAAUACCGGAUAAGCCCUUACGAGGAAAGAUUUAUCGCCGAGAGAUUGGCCCGCGUCUGAUUAGCUAGUUGGUGUGGUAAAAGCGCACCAAGGCGACGANCAGUAGCUGGUCUGAGAGGAUGACCAGCCUCAUUGGGACUGAGACACGGCCCAAACUCCUACGGGAGGCAGCAGUGGGGAAUAUUGGACAAUGGGCGCAAGCCUGAUCCAGCCAUGCCGCGUGGAUGAUGAAGGCCUUAGGGUGUAAAGUCUUUUAACGGGAAGAUAAUGACGUACCGUAGAUAAAGCCCCGGCUAACUUCGUGCCAGCAGCCGCAGU